rnacentral:lncRNA from 1 species
GGAAGAUGGAACUAUAUUGAUCCAAAACUCAAUAUAAACCCUUGAUUUUUCAGCCAUGUAACAUUAGAAUUAGAAGGAAUUUAGGAAGUAUGCAUGACAAUUCUUUUAUUUCACAGACACAGAAAAGGAGGAUUGAAAGGAAAUGACCUAUUCAAGAUCACACAUCAAAUGAGUUCAGACGACCUUGGAUUUGGUGCCUGUGACUCUAUUCUGCUGACUUUCCAUGGUCUCAGGGAAGACAGGCUGGAGGGGAGUGCACAGCAAGGCCUUUGACAAAUAAACAGUGGCCCAGAGAUUAAGCUGCA